CGGAAGUGACUGCCAUGCAUGCCGUACGUGUUAGUGGAGAUUGUGCAAUCUUGAGUCUACGGCUUUCGCAGUUCGGCAACAAACACUGAAUUACUGGGUUUCUCAAGAAGACAAGUCGGAUAGCGCAGUCGGAUAAUCUGUCCUCACCAGAGCAAGCUGCUUGGAUCAAGGUGCGGCUUGGCAGUCUGAAGUGCUGUGAGUAAUCAUCUCACAGCAAUCUUCAUCAGUAUUAAUCUUCGUCAACAAACCAAGGAGGAUAUAAGGAGAAAAUAAAGACAAGACAACAAACAUCUUAUGUAACUUCAACAAACCAAGGAGGUUAUAACGAAAGAAAAUCAAGGACAAGACAAGA